GAUGAAGAACGUAGCGAAAUGCGAUAAGUAAUGUGAAUUGCAGAAUUCAGUGAAUCAUCGAAUCUUUGAACGCACAUUGCGCCCGCCAGUAUUCUGGCGGGCAUGCCUGUUCGAGCGUCAUUUCAACCAUCAAGCCCCAGGCUUGUGUUGGGGACCUGCGGCUGCCGCAGGCCCUGAAAACCAGUGGCGGGCUCGCUGUCACACCGGGCGUAGUAGAUUUUAUCUCGCUCAGGGCGUGCUGCGGGUUCCGGCCGUUAAAAAGCCUUUUUUACCCAAGGUUGACCUCGGAUCAGGUAGGAAGACCCGCUGAGCUUAAGCAUAUCAAUAAGCGGAGGA
rnacentral:misc_RNA from 1 species